rfam:Otolemur garnettii contig069579, whole genome shotgun sequence.
AAAAUGGCAGAAAGAAAGAAUUAUGAAGGAAGACCAGAAAGUACGACAGACAAAACCAACAAUCAAAAUGAGAAAGUAGGACAUAACAAAGAAAAAGACUGACACUCAUGAACAAAGUAGACUAAUAGACGAACAUCUACAUUGUGUGACGUUUUCUU